GAAACCAAGGAAGGUACAUGCCCUUGACUGGAAUCGAACCCGGGACCUUUCAGUCGUAGGCCGACGCUCUAUCCAGUGAGCCACACCGGUCAGGGCUGUGGGUGGCAGUCUUGUCUCUACGCCUCUGCUUCCCUCUGGGGCAAGGUUAGGGUCAGGGGAUCCUGUGGGUGGCUGGCAAAGGCCGGGCAGCCCUGGCCAGGGUGGCGGGGUGCCCCUCCCCAGCCCCCCAUCAGAGUGGCUUUGGGAUUCCAAGUGGGCCACGCCCCCGGAGCCGAGGUCACCUGCAGGGACAAUGGGUCCACAUGGCGGCCAUGCUGACGGAAGGAGUGAGUGCCGUCCCUGCUCAGAUCAAGGCCCUGCGACCAUCCAGCUUUCGGGGCCCGGCUGAGGAUGCACGUCUGGCCUCGGAGGGCCUGGCACACAGGGACCCGGAGUGAGGCGAUGCUACGAGCUGAAUGGUGUCCCCCCUCCACUGCCGAAGCCCUCACCCCGGGACCUCGGAGUGGGCCUGUGUGUGGAGCUGGGACCUGUAAAGCAUGGCUAAGCGGACACGCGGUGGGCCUGAUCUCACAGGUCUGGGGUCCUUCUGGGAAGAGGAGGUGAGGACACAGGAUGGGACCAGCACAGCACCCACACGCCCAGGCGGGAGGCCUCAGGGGGCCCAGCCUUCAGGACCCACGCUCCGGCCGGGACUCGGUGAGGAUGAGUGGAGUUGGCCGUUCAGAAACGUGCCUCAUGGGGGUCACUCCUGUCUGAAGUGGAUAAAUCUGAAGAAGCAGCGGCUCCGGGAGAAUCUCGCCAGGCCAGCCGGCGUGGCUCAGGGCUUGAGCAUCGGCCUAGGAACCAAGAGGUCGGGGUUCGAUUCCCGGCCAGGGCACAGGCCCAGGCUGUGGCCUGGAUCCCCAGUUUGGGGCGUGCAGGAGGCAGCCGCUCCAUGAUUCGCUCUUGUCAUAGUUGUUUCUCCCUCCCUCUCCCUUCCUCUCUGACAUCAAUAAAAAUGUAUUUUU